UCUGGUUGAUCCUGCCAGUAGUUAUAUGCUUGUCUCAAAGAUUAAGCCAUGCAUGUCUAAGUACACACGCAUUAAAAGUGAAACCGCAAAAGGCUCAUUAUAUCAGUUAUGGUUCCUUAGAUCGUUAACAGUUACUUGGAUAACUGUGGUAAUUCUAGAGCUAAUACAUGCAAUUAAAACAUGAACCUUAUGGGACAUGUGCUUUUAUUAGGCUAAAACCAAGCGAUCGCAAGAUCGUUAUAUUGGUUGAACUCUAGAUAACAUGCAGAUCGUAUGGUCUUGUACCGACGACAGAUCUUUCAAAUGUCUGCCCUAUCAACUUUUGAUGGUAGUAUCUAGGACUACCAUGGUUGCAACGGGUAACGGGGAAUCAGGGUUCGAUUCCGGAGAGGGAGCCUGAGAAACGGCUACCACAUCUAAGGAAGGCAGCAGGCGCGUAAAUUACCCACUCCCAGCUCGGGGAGGUAGUGACGAAAAAUAACAAUACAGGACUCAUAUCCGAGGCCCUGUAAUUGGAAUGAGUACACUUUAAAUCCUUUAACAAGGACCAAUUGGAGGGCAAGUCUGGUGCCAGCAGCCGCGGUAAUUCCAGCUCCAAUAGCGUAUAUUAAAGUUGUUGCGGUUAAAACGUUCGUAGUUGAACUUGUGCUUCAUACGGGUAGUACAACAUACAAUUGUAGUUAGUACUAUACCUUUAUGUAUGUAAGCGUAUUACCGGUGGAGUUCUUAUAUAUGUUUAAAUACUUGUAUUUUUUCAUAUGUUCCUCCUAUUUAAAAACCUGCAUUAGUGCUCUUAAACGAGUGUUAUUGUGGGCCGGUACAAUUACUUUGAACAAAUUAGAGUGCUUAAAGCAGGCUUCAAAUGCCUGAAUAUUCUGUGCAUGGGAUAAUGAAAUAAGACCUCUGUUCUGCUUUCAUUGGUUUUCAGAUCAAGAGGUAAUGAUUAAUAGAAGCAGUUUGGGGGCAUUAGUAUUACGA
rnacentral:rRNA from 1 species